CGGAGCUGCAGGGUGAAGCCUAGGCUUGUGCAGCCAGAGGUGCAGGGGGUUAGGGGCAAGCUCAGGAAUUCGGGACACGGCGCUGUGCCGCUGUGUUCCCACCCCUCGUCUCCCGACACCAAGGCUGCUCAAGCCCAAGGUGUUUUUUACCUUUUCCCUGCCACCUCCCAGUCCCUGGCCCAACAUGAUACUGACCAAAGCCCAGUACGACGAGAUAGCCCAGUGCCUAGUGUCUGUGCCGCCUACCAGGCAGAGCCUGAGGAAGCUGAAGCAGAGGUUCCCCAGUCAAUCGCAGGCCACUCUGCUGAGCAUCUUCUCCCAGGAGUACCAGAAACACAUUAAGAGAACACAUGCCAAACAUCAUACUUCGGAAGCGAUUGAAAGUUAUUAUCAGAGGUAUCUGAAUGGAGUGGGGAAAAAUGGAGCUGCCCCAGUGCUCCUGGAGCUAGCCAAUGAGGUGGACUACGCACCCUCAUUAAUGGCUCGGAUUAUACUGGAAAGGUUUCUACAAGAGCGUGAGGAAGCUCCACAUGUCAUUGAAGUCUUUGAAUCUGACCUGCCUUCACUAAGCUUUCCAGCCUCCAAGUCUGUUAUAAAUAGUAUGCUACGGGACCCUUCUCAGAUUCCAGAUGGAGUUCUAGCAAAUCAGGUCUAUCAGUGCAUCGUGAAUGACUGCUGUUAUGGACCACUGGUGGACUGCAUCAAACAUGCCAUUGGUCACGAGCAUGAAAUUCUGUUGAGGGACUUGCUUCUGGAGAAAAACCUGUCUUUCCUCGAUGAAGAUCAGCUCCGUGCAAAGGGUUAUGACAAAACGCCUGACUUUAUUUUACAAGUACCAGUUGCUGUAGAAGGGCACAUAAUUCACUGGAUUGAAAGCAAAGCCUCAUUCGGUGAUGAAUGUAGCCACCACGCCUACCUGCAUGACCAGUUCUGGAGCUACUGGAAUAGGUUUGGGCCGGGUUUAGUCAUCUACUGGUACGGAUUUAUCCAGGAGCUGGACUGUAACCGGGAGAGGGGUAUCCUGCUCCAAGCCUGCUUCCCCACAGACAUCGUCACCUUAUGCCAUAGCGUCGCUUGACCCUGAUGGUCCUGGAAGAGAAGCUGGGAGGAAAAGGUGAAUCCGGAAGCAAUUUUACUUUCCUGCCGUGUAAACUCCUGGCAGCAUCUGCCCUGAACUUCAGCUGAACUCUCGCUGCCCGUGGUCACACCACUACCUCUUUAGACAAACAUAUCAAGAGUUUCUGUUUUCCUUCAUCCCUUGCUCAUGUGAACAGCCAAGAACUACACACACAACCCACUCGUUAUCAGCAUUUCUGUCUCUGUCAAACAGUUAGUUUAUAGAUAGUCAUAAUCUUUCUUCCUUCCGGAUGGUUUCUCCUUAUAUACUGAACAAAAGAAAAAAUGUGGAGACCGAAAGGUGUGAUUUUUCAGUUCUCCUCCCGGUUACCAAAUCACCCUCUUAGUUUUUUUCUAAGCCUCCAUUCCUUCUCCCUCCCUCCCUCCCCCUUUCUCUUCAUGUGCACUCACAGGUACCCAGGGUUGCAUUACUAUCAUGGAAUAACCGAACACAGUCCUGGCAAAGCCGAAAUCAUAAAGGCUGCAACUAGAUUUUCAUUCUCACCUGCAAGGGCAGAACUUGCUGGGAGCCUGCCCUUGUUUUGUCCAGUCUUUAUGGUUUCCUGACUUCUAUGGCAGUAAGCCAAGCUGAAAAAAUAUACUUGAUGAGAAUUUCCUCUUUUUAUAAUACUUAUUUGAACACCAAACAUUUUCCAUUUAUCUCAUUUAAAAGCAUUAGUUACGUUGUGUCUGGAAACCACACUCCUUCUUUGGAUUGGGGGCUGAGGGCAGACGACUGCAGCUCGGUGCCGGCCUUGACAAGAGUUUAUUUUUAAACAUGACUAGCUGUCGAAGACUAAAUAAAUAUACCAUUUGUACUUUGUUCAUUUUGUACCUAAGAAGAUUUGCAAAAAUCUGCCUACUGCCUUUGCUUUUGAAGGACACAAACACAUCAGAUUCAAGCAUGGAUUUUAGCUCUGUUGUGGGUUACAUUAAACAAAAAAGAAAGAGGAAGAAGAUGAAAUGGUACGGAAGUAUCAGGCAAACUUCCAUUUCAAAGUUCACCACGCAGGUUUCGUGAGUAAAAUAGAAUGAUUUGGAACUGCUGCUGUUGUCUUGUUACAGAAACACACACACACACACACACACACACACACAUUUUAGACAAAUCUGUUGUGAAAAGCAGUUUCCGUGGCAUGCUCUAAACUGCUUUUUCUUCUUUAGGAAUAAAUUACAUUUAUCUGCACAGAUGUUGAAAACCCUGUUAAACCCUCGUCAAGGAUUUGUUUGUUUUAUAUUAAACAAAUUUAUGAUGAAGGUGCACAAAUAAAUUUUAAAAAUAAACAGGUGCUUGCAUUUCAUAUUGGCUCUUCUACCUGGUACCCUGACAUAACGUGUUAGGAGAAGGUACCAGUGUUCUCCGGCAAAGGCACCACCUCCUCUUUAUGAGGGAGGCUUUAAAACCUGGCCCUGGAAAGUGGGAAAGAAACCAGCAGUAGACUGUACAUACUAUGAUAACGUUACAAGUUAUUUAAAACUAAGCUCUAUUCAACAUAAAAACUAAUGUGAUUAUAACAUCUACUACUUUUCAGUUGGAGGAGUGGGGUGGGGACCUAACGUUCCCAGACUGGAAUCCGAAAUCCUCCCUGUUCCUCUUUGAUACUUGCCAAGCGUCUGCUCUCACAAACAAGCAAGAGACCCUGUUUGUUCAAAGCGCACAGAGGGAUGAACUCAGAGCAAAGCUGAUCCCACGCCAAUAUUUCAGGGCAAAUCAAAAUUUACACAAUCCAAACGACCUCUGCAGGAAACCAUAGUUUUGCAAGCUGAACAAUUUUCCGACAAGUGAACGAGCACGGACGCUCCCCUCUCUGAACACAAGCCGGUCCUCUU